UUAUCAUAUUGUUUAUCGGGGAUAAGUGUCUUUUUUUCUUUUUUUUCUUUUUUUUGGUUAACAUCGGGGAUAAGUGUUUGUCUCCCAAAAUGUUCACUUAUAAUUACUUUUUUAAUUUCUUUAAUUUGUUGCUAACUUUUUAGUUUCUUUAAUUCGUUGAAUACUUUUUUUUUUUUUUUUGGUAAACUAAUUUGUUGAAUACUUAUGCUACAAAAAAAUGAUCUAGAAAUCGGGUUAACUAUAGCAAUCGUCCUUGAAUUUUAUCCCUUAUUUAAUUUUAGUGUCUGAACUCUCAUAUUAGUUUCUUUAGUUCUCAAAAUUGUCUCAUUGUUCUUUUUCACUAGCGCUGUUUAUUUUUUUGUUAAAUCUAGGGGUAUAUAAGGAGCUUCAUCCCAAAUCACCAAAAAUAAAUUUUAAAAAUGAAUUAUAAGAAAGAAAAGAAAAACUAUAAAAAAAAAAAAAUCAGUUUUUAUGUUGGUGAGAAAAUUGAAUAUACCCCUAGAUUUAAGGUUUUACUAGGCUUUCUGCACAUGCACACAUGCAUGCGAGAGGCAUUUUUGCAUCACGGGCGCUACGCGCCCCAAAUAUGUGUUGUUUUAGAUAUUCUUAUAUUUCUUAAGUGAUUAUUUUAUAAAUUGUGGGUGUGUGUCCAUCACAACAAUUUCUUAUUAUUUUCAAUCAUCUAAUUUAGUCUUUUUGCACCUGCCCAUUGUACAGAAAAAAAUGAAAUUUAUGAAUUGCACACUAACCAUUCCACAUUUUUUUUGCUUGCUGAUUAUUAUGGUGUCAUUUUUUUUGUUUGGCUGAUAGAAUUUCGUUUCACGAACUGAACUAUGCCUGGUCAUUAUUAUCACUUUGGUAAUUACUGAUUAACAAAAAAAAUUAAGUUAAUCAGAGUAGUUGGAAUUCUCAUAUAUCCAUCAGUAUCGUUUUACCCCAAUAUAUUGUACAAGAAGGAAACCAAGAGUUAGGUUCCUUAAAAUCAAGAGUUGGGUUCCUUAGUCAAUAAGGGAUUAAAAAUGGUGGAUUUCAUUUUUGUUUACUAUGAUAAUGGUGUUAUCGUUACCUAUUGAUAAAAUUCCAAAUAGACGUGUCUCUAUUUUUCCUCAUAGUUGGGAGAUAUCUGUCGGAGUAAAAAUUACUGAUCUAAGCCAACUGAUUCUUAAAGAGUAGAAAAAGAAGAAGCAUGAGCAGUAUGUAUUCUAAAUUCUUUAUUAAAUUUGUUACAAGAAAUUCUAACAUUAUAUAUACCUUCAAUAUAUAGGUGGCGCAUGAAAAAGGCUACAGAAAAAUUAAAACCUUCAACAACUCCUCACAUCAUACGUAUUUGGAAUAAAGUCCAACAAAUUAGGAAAAAGAUUAAUAGUGACCAAACAACUUUUCUAAAUACGGUAAGUCUUCUCUUAUUUUUAUACGGAAGUAUACUAUAAAUUCAAAUUGCAUUUAAUUUUCAAAUAGAAUAAAAUUGCAAUUUUUGUCAAUUUUACAAGCAUCACACCGGUCUCAAAGUACAAAGGUUGAAGUACAAGAUUAAGUAUUCUAAAAGUAACUGGAGUAAAAGUAUUGCCAUGAGAAAAUUGUCAAAGUUAAAGAUUAACCAUGAAAAUCUAAAGCAUCAAGUGCAAGCAAAUGGGUGGCAAGCAUGGCUUUGAUUUCACACGUAAACGCUAUGUUUACAUAUGUACAUGUUGUCCAUAUUUUGAUUUGCUUCAUAUAUUAGGAGUUCAUCCCUACUAGCCUAAAACUUUGACUGAAAACUUAUGAAUCUGAAAAUUUUGAUUUAAGGGCAUUAAAUGUUAUCAACAUGUAUUUAGGAAUGAAAUUACAUGUCGUAUUUUCAUAUUUUUUUAAUAGUUUAUGUUUUCCCAUUUUAUCUUCAUUGUUGUUUUA